AGACGAGGGGCCCGAGCGUUAAUCGGAAUUACUGGGCUUAAAGGGUGCGCAGGCGGGCGCGAAGGUGUCUCGUGAAAUACCCCGGCUCAACCGGGGAACUGCGGGGCAAACCACGCGCCUUGAGGCAGGUAGAGGCCGUCGGAACGCUAGGUGGAGCGGUGAAAUGCGUAGAUAUCUAGCGGAACGCCAAAGGAGAAGUCAGACUGCUGGGCCUGUCCUGACGCUCAGGCACGAAAGCGUGGGGAGCGAACGGGAUUAGAAACCCGGGUAGUCC
rnacentral:rRNA from 1 species